CUCUCUCUGUUUCAGCUUUGCUGCUGCCUCACCCUCAUACCAUGCACUGCUGUGAACAGCCCAGCUGCAUCUCCUCUAUUCCUCCCAGGGAUGCUGUUUGGUGCCCCCAAAGCUGCUGCUCCCUCUGGCUGAACCAGCCUUGGUUCCACAGCUUCUCAGUGAUGCUCUGCUGAACUCAGUUAUCUUUGUCAAUUUCUGUCUUGUGCAUGCUGCUCCUAAAAAUGUAUGCACAACCAUGGAGCAGAGGGGAACAAUCACCUCCAUUGACCUACUCCUUGUGCCCCUGUUCUUCCAGCACAGUGUGCCGCUAAAUGCCUUCAUUGCUGCCCAUGUGAAAAUAAAUUGGUGACAGGACUUGUAAAUAAAAUACAGAAUUUUAACAAAACGACAGGGGUGGAAACUGCAUCUAGUAAACAUUUCUCCAUUCUUUCCAUCUCCAGCAAUACCAUUUUAUAAAAUGGAGAGUUAUUUUAAGUAGUGGAAUGCUGCAGAAGACUGAAGAAUAAUACUCCUAGAAAAAUCCAUUAUUUUCAAUGGAUAAUUGGAAUGUGGGACUGAAGGGGGACCUCAGGAAGUCAUCUACCCUAUCCUACUACUCUGAGGCACAUACAUUUAGAUCCUUGAUUGUGUGUUACCUAUUCUCUGGUAUCUCUGUGUUUUCAUGUUCUGCAUUCAUAGCCUGCAUUGUAUCUUAACAGGCCGCAAUGAAGCUUUUUUCCCUGUUACAUAACUGUCUUUCUGUGAAUGAUACCAAUUACCAGUUGUCUUAACAAUAAAAGGAAUUAAUCAUAUUUUCUUCAUCUCAGCGUAUUAUGGAUUUGAAGGCUGUUCUCAUGCCCUGUAAAACUUUUUGUCUUCUAAACCAGGCAAAAUAUUUUACACUUUUUCCCUAGGCUAUUUUCUUAAUUCUCUCAUUUAUAUUCCACGUAAGUCUUUGCAACUCAUGUACUUCUUCCAGUUAAAGCUUUGCAAGCAUCAAUAUCUUCUCUAUAUUACCAUUGUUAUCUCCUAUAUGUUACCAGAACACAGAAAGACUUUGCUAUUUUUAAUAUCGGGUUGCAUUUGGGAUUCUUACUCAGUUUGAAGUCCACUGUAGCCUUAGGUCUUCCUCUACUACUCACCAAUCCUUACUUCAUUUUGUGUGGGUGUAUUUUGCUUUUUACUUCUGAUAUCUAGGUCUGCAUUUCUCUCUACUGUAUGCCAUUACUCAUAUAACUUUUACCUUAUAUCGGGUUUGUUUACUUAUUUAUCUUACUCCAGCACUGCUCUGUAGAGUACCUGCAAACCCUUAUCUCAAAACUGUAUUCAUUUACUUGUGCUUUCAGAUCGAACUUGUUUACUGAAAAUACUGGGCACUACUUUCCCAAGUAAGCAUUUGUGAGCUGAUGACUCUUCCUUUUUUCAGUGAUAGCUGCAUUCAGCAGUUGGGGGUGGGGUUUCUACCUGCUGCACACAUGCUUCAUGGCAAUUUAAUUUAGACCAUGGUUUGCCUAGCACAGCCCUGUGGGACUCUGCUGAAGACUUGCAUAACCAAAAUGCAACUUCAAUAUCAAAAUAAUAUGGUAAUGGUUACUGCUCUAGUUUGCAUGUAAAUUAAUUGUCUUCCUUGGUUUCAAACAGUCCUACCCAAAACUUCUGUUCUUUUGUAAAUCCUAAUAAUAGUGAAUUUGGCAAAAAGAAAACACUUCUGUGUGUCCUUGAGAUGCUGUCAGAGGUCUCAUGUAGUCACACCACUACAUUGUGCUCUCCAUACUUUCUGGUUUGAUGUUUCAGGAUAUGGAGAGAAGGGUAGGGUAAUGUUGACUUUUCUGGUUUAGGUCUAAUCUUGCUUCCUCUUAUUUUUCUCUGUUGGAGUCGAUCUAAAAUAAUUAAAAAUCCAGCUGACAGGACAAGAAUGGCUCCUGCCAUGUAGAAGCCUGCUCUGUAAUCUCCAGCCAUGUCCACAAUCAGACCUGGAGAGAAACAAAUGACAGGAAUAUGAUUGAUGGAGAACAGGCUAAUGUAAAUUAGCUCAGCAGUGUGUGUGAAUAUAUCCUCUUACAAAGGCAAUGUGCUGGGCUACAUACUUGUCUACACCAUAAGUACAUGGAACAUCACCCCAAGUAUAGCAUUUUUCAGUUUGAAACAUUAUUCAUGUCUCAUUGUUUUUCUUACAUGAAUUGCUAGAGAAACAAUUUAUUAUACAAGUUUGAAGCACUUUCCAACCUAAAGUGUGUCAGACAGUGCAGGCACUGGCAGAAAAAAAAGACAGAC
ensembl:lncRNA